rnacentral:rRNA from 1 species
CUCCUUGAUUCAGCGGCGGACGGGUGAGUAAUGCCUAUGAAUCUGCCUGGUAGUGGGGGACAACGUUAUCGAAAGGAACGCUAAUACCGCAUACGUCCUACGGGAGAAAGCAGGGGACCUUCGGGCCUUGCGCUAUCAGAUGAGCCUAGGUCGGAUUAGCUAGUUGGUGAGGUAAUGGCUCACCAAGGCGACGAUCCGUAACUGGUCUGAGAGGAUGAUCAGUCACACUGGAACUGAGACACGGUCCAGACUCCUACGGGAGGCAGCAGUGGGGAAUAUUGGACAAUGGGCGAAAGCCUGAUCCAGCCAUGCCGCGUGUGUGAAGAAGGUCUUCGGAUUGUAAAGCACUUUAAGUUGGGAGGAAGGGCAGUAAGUUAAUACCUUGCUGUUUUGACGUUACCGACAGAAUAAGCACCGGCUAACUCUGUGCCAGCAGCCGCGGUAAUACAGAGGGUGCAAGCGUUAAUCGGAAUUACUGGGCGUAAAGCGCGCGUAGGUGGUUUGUUAAGUUGGAUGUGAAAGCCCCGGGCUCAACCUGGGAACUGCAUCCAAAACUGGCAAGCUAGAGUACGGUAGAGGGUGGUGGAAUUUCCUGUGUAGCGGUGAAAUGCGUAAUAUAGGAAGGAACACCAGUGGCGAAGCGACCACCUGGACUGAUACUGACACUGAGGUGCGAAAGCGUGGGGAGCAAACAGGAUUAAAUACCCUGGUAGUC